GGGCAUUGGCCAGAACCACGGGGAGGAACCGUGUCCGGAUUCGUCGAAAAGCCCGAGCCCGUCGAAGUACCGGGCC
rnacentral:tRNA from 1 species